GAGGCCUACGGGGGGCAGCAGUGAGGAAUAUUGGUCAAUGGGCGGGAGCCUGAACCAGCCAAGCCGCGUGAGGGAAGAAGGUACAGCGGAUCGUAAACCUCUUUUGUCAGGGAACAAAAGCGGGGACUAGUCCCCGGAUGAGGGUACCUGAAGAAAAAGCAUCGGCUAACUCCGUGCCAGCAGCCGCGGUAAUACGGAGGAUGCGAGCGUUAUACGGAUUCAUUGGGUUUAAAGGGAGCGCAGGCGGCCGGUUAAGUCAGCGGUAAAAGCCCGGGGUUCAAACCCGGCGAGCAGUUGAAACUGGG
rnacentral:rRNA from 1 species